rnacentral:rRNA from 1 species
UACAGAGGUCCCAAGCGUUGUUCGGAUUCACUGGGCGUAAAGGGUGCGUAGGUGGCCGAGAAAGUUCGGUGUGAAAGCUCCAAGCUCAACUUGGAAAUGUCAUCGAAAACUUCUCGGCUUGAGGGUUGAAAGGGAGACUGGAAUUCUCGGUGUAGCAGUGAAAUGCGUAGAUAUCGAGAGGAACACCGGUGGCGAAGGCGAGUCUCUGGGCAAAUCCUGACACUGAGGCACGAAAGCUGGGGGAGCAAACAGG